CACACACACACACACACACCGGCGUACUGGAACCUCUCUCGCGAUCCCGCACCCAGCUUGAAUUCAGCAAGAAUCGAAAACAGGUGUGCCCCCGUGUCCAACAACCGUCGUAUCUACAGCGAUCCUUAGAGAACAAUUAAGGCCAGUUGACAGUAAAGAACAAUCAGUGUGUAUUUGAAGUCCAUGCUGAGAGAGCAUCAAUCUUCUGGCAGCUGCAAGACUGACCUAUCAACCGAGGCAUUUCUUCAUUCCCUGCCAUUGUCUCCUCCUCUUGAGAUCGCCAUCAGGCACAGUCACUUUUCUACAAACAGGCAAUAGGACUCCCGCUGCCACCCUGCCCAGAUUUUAGUCCUCUACUGCUGAUAAAGUGAGCAAAGAUACGUGGCACUUCCUGAACCCAAAUACUCUUCUGAGCUGAUUCUAAAUCCACACAGAAUCAACCUACCUCCUAUUACCUCCUUCCAAGCUCUGUGUCCCAUUCUCUCAUUUCAGUCUCAGCUCCAGACAUCAGUGAAUUCAAUGUGAUACAUCAGGGGACAUCACAGGACUUCCCUACUUGAAAAUCAAGCAAUCGUGUCCCUGAAACACUCUGUCUUUAUUCAUGCUCAGUUACCGUAAAGUAGAUGCAACUCUAAGAACCUAUGGAUUUUUUUAUUGCCACUAAUAGAUCAUGAUUUACAGCAAAAUUUUAAAAGGUCCAAUUUUACUCACAUAAGAAGAAGAAAACAUUCAGCAAGAAGCAUUUCUUUUGCUUUAUCUUUCCCAGUUAAAUAUGACUUUAAAAAAGACAAAAUUUUAAAAGGUCCAAUUUUACUCACAAAAGAAGAA
rnacentral:lncRNA from 1 species